rnacentral:rRNA from 1 species
AAAUUUUAAAGUUCGUGGUGACAGCGGAGGGAUCAUUACCGGGAAAUGGGGUGCGGCCUCUUCGGAGGUUGCCCCCUUAUACAAACCCAAACCCACCGUGAACCUUUUAAACUUUAUUUUUUUUUGCUUCGGCGGGUCGCCCCGGGCUCUCAAAAAGCUCGGGGGGUGCACCCUCCCGCCGGAGUACCGAACACUCUGUACCGACGAAAACGUCACAAUUCUGAGAAUAUACUCCGAGGAUCUUCCUCGAUAGAGAGAAAAGUCACAACCUUUCAACGAUGGAUCUCUCGGCUCCCGGCUUCGAUGAAGAAACGCAGCGAAAUUGCGAUACCUUAAUAGGACUCGCAGACCCCCUCAGUGAAUCAUUCGAGUUUUUUGAACGCACAUGGCACCCGCCAGCAUUCUGGCGGGUCUGCCUGUCCGAGCGUCGUUUUCACCACCCGAGAAAAUGGGGAAGUCUCCACUAGGAACUCCCUUUGUCUCGGCGUUGGGGCAUGCGGGGGGAGGCUUCAGAUCGCCCCCCGCAGCCCUCAAAUACAGUGGCGGCACCGUCGGCAAGCGGCCCCCGUACGUAGUAACAUUAACGUCUUCGUACGAUCAGGGGCUCGUCCGUCGGGUCGCGGUAUCAAAAAGCUUUUGGGUGUUUUUUUGUCUCCUCCGGGAGGGAAAAGCCCCGAAAACAUUGAUGGUCGACCUCGGAUCAGGCAGGGUUACCCGCUGAACUUAAGCAUAUCAAUAAGCGGAGGAAAAGAAACCAACAGGGAUUGCCUCAGUAGCGGCGAGCGAAGCGGCAACAGCCCAGAUUUGAAAAUCUGGCCCUUUCGGGGUCCGAGUUGUAAUCUGCAGAUGGAUCUUCCCCGGGGGUGUGUGCACUGCCCAAGUGUACCUGGAACGGUUUGCCGUAGAGGGUGAGAGCCCCGUUACGGCGGUGCCGCGCCUCCUCAGUGAAGCCCCAUUCGGAGAGUCGAGUAGUUUGGGAAUGCUGCUCUAACGGGAGGUAAAUCCCUUCCAAGGCUAAAUACCCGCCGGAGACCGAUAGCGCAGAAGUAGCGCGAGCGAAAGGUGAAUAGAACUCUGAAAAGAGAGUUAAAGCAUGUGAAAUCGUUGAAGGGGAAGCGGCUUCGACCAGACUCGCGGSGGUCGGUCACCUGGGCGGUCACGCCAGGGCACUCUGCCGCCCGCGGGCCAGCAUCGACUCGUCUCGGGGGUAAAGGUCGGGGGGACGUGGCCCUAGGGGUGUUAUAACCUCCGGCGUAAUGCCCUGGGAUCGGGUCCGAGGAUCUAGCGCUCCCGAAUCGAUGCGCAAGGCUUCCCCUUUAAACCGGAAAA